ensembl:lincRNA
UUACUGUUUUUGCUUUGGUCAUGUUUUCUGUAUUCUGUAAGCCUGUUUAAUUUUUUUAUGGUGGCAGGGGAGAAUCUUUUAUAAUUAUGCUUUGUGCUUUUAAUCUUCCACUCAAUAAAUGCUUGGUAAAUAUUUGUUUUAUUGAGUAUAUGACCCUAUUCUAGUUAUAUUGUUCUUGAACAAAAAUCUUAACUGCCUUGUAAGUUAACUGCUAAGAAUUUGUCAAAAGUGCAGAGAUAACAUCAAGAGCGUGUCAUAGAUAGUACCAAAAGGUCUCUAAGGGCUUGAUGGAAGUCUGUAAAUUGACUUUCUAUGAAAGAGAGUGUAAGAAGGGAAAAAAAGCAAAACAGACUAGAUGUUUUACUCUGUUUGCCAAGGGGUUUGUGCUGGGUUUUUUUCCUGUUUUAUAAAUUUGUCCUAAUCUUAGUUAAUGAAGGGAAAAGAGCACUAUUUUUCAACCUCAAGGAAUCCUUUUUGUACUUCUUUUCUGUGAAGCCAUGUUAUGAAAGAUUGUUAUACAAACUUAAGUAUAGUUUUUCUAUCUUCAGUAACAGACCUGAUUGCCAUCUAGUUACGGGUUCCAAUCACACCAAAAUGCAAAGCAGCUUGUUCUAAUGUCUGCCGGCAGACAUGGUUUUCUCAGCGAAGAGCCCGCUGAGUGCUGGCUACCUGGUGAUGGUUUCGCGUGGUGUCUUGGCAGAUGAGCCACCCAGCCUGGACCCCAUGCAGAGCUUCUCCCAAGAGGCGGUGGACACAGGCAGGAUCCUGUACCUGGACUCCCGCCCUGAUGCCUGGAGCAAUGCCUUCUUGCUGGAUGUGGCCUUGGCCUGGGUGCUUCCCUUGAGGACGUCGUGUGGAGCUGGAGGUGCUGCCUGCUGUCAUCCGCACUGGGGGCACAAAACUUCAGCAUCCCCGAGGGUAGCAGCCGUACCCUGGCCCCUCCACUGCUCCACGUCGCCAGGCCCUACUUCCUCACUCUGCCGGGCCUUGGCCUGCAGGCCCUACUUCCUCACUCUGCUGGGCCUUGGCCUGCAGGUGCUGGAGCCACCCUGGCAUAGGGCCCUGCAGAAAGAGAACGGGCCUCAAGCCAGGACCCUAAGCACCUUCUGCUGGAGAGAGACCACGGAGUUCUCAUCUCGGAGCCACUGGCCAGUGUGUGCUCCUGUGAGGACCAGAACACACUGAUGGAGGAGUUGGCAGAGCAGGCACAGCGGCGGCGCCAGGAGAUGCUGCGCAUGCACCACGUGCUGAAGGAGGGGCUCAGCAUCAUCCGCGACAUCAACACAACCACCGUCAGCAUGUCCAAGCGCCUGCCCGUGGACGACUCCUGGCUGCAGGUGUAGAGCAUCCCGGACGAACGCAGGUACCAGGGCCAGCCCCCACGGUCCCCAAAAGUCCCCCAGCCCGGGCUGCUGGGAGGAGUGCCCGGGGGCAGUGGCGUACCCCCUCACAGGGGUGGCUCCCACCUGGAGUGAGUGGCGGAGCUUGCCAAGGAGAACUGGCUGCGGGGCAGGGUGGAGCUGGAAUGUUGUCCCGCUGAGGGCGGGGCUUAAGCUCCGGCGACCGCCUCGGGGCGCGGCAGGGAGGAGCUUCCCUGCAUGGGCGUGGCCGGCACCGGGCUGGGGCGGGGCCUCAGGGGGGCGGAGCCGCCCAUUUCUCCUCUCUGCCUCGCUCCCUGUGGCCAGCAGGUCGCCUAAGUCCAGUCCCAGGAUGCCCAUCCCUGACUAUGUCCCCAGCCUGGCCUGGGUCGUGGGGCCUGGCUCCUGGGCUUCCUCCUACUGGGUCCGCCCUUGGGGAAGCAUCCUCCCUACCCUCCAGGCCAGAGGCUUCCCCUGAUCCCUUCAGCCCUACCCGCCAAGUGCUCUCGUGCCCCACCCGGGAUCGCCAGGUGAGUAGGGGCUGAAUGCGGAUUGGGACUGGAAUCCAGAGCAUUGGACCUGGCCGCCAGAACUGGCCGUUUCCAUCCAAGGCAGUGGGACCGUGGGCGCCUGAGCCACAUGUGGCCGAGGGCUGGCGGAGCCUGCCCCCCAGGGAGGGCUGAGUCCUGGAGUUGGUCGUUUUUGAGGAGGGGGCUGAGGGGCUCGUCCCACCUGCUGCCUUCUUUCCAGCACUUGCGUAGCACUUCCCUCUAUUUUCACUCUGGGCAGUCGCCCACACGUUGCAUUCCUAUUCCUAUCUUCUCCUUGUCCUCCAUCCUCCAUUCCGUCCAACUCCUCUCCCAGCCCCUGGGGAACCUACCUCAGGUCUGAGAGUCUGAACCCCGAGAUGCUCUGGGUGUGUGGAUUUCCUUCAUCUACCCUGAUGUCCCCACUUCCAAGUCCUGACUCCAUUGAGCCAUCCCAGGGGGUGUCUGGCCACUGCGCCACAGGAGCAGAGGCCAGGCUGUGACUGUGUGACCAACAAGGUGUGUGAUGUGUGUAUGGGUGAGCACACGAGUGUGAGAGUGUAAGAGUGGCACCCAGGCCUGGGCUAGGACAGAAGCAGCUGGGGAAGGAGCCUGGGGGCCACAGGCAAUCUGAUAUUUUCUCCACACCCUGCCCCUCACUCUGCCCUGGACCCUGUCUAAACUAAUGGGGUAGUGGCAGCUGCAGGGGCAGGGAUGACAGUGACCGAAUCCUACUUCACUCCCAAAGAUUUCUAAGGAAGAGCGUUCUACUGCAACCUUUGGCUUGGCCUUGUUGACCCAUGACCCUCUUUCAAGGACAUUCACUCUGAUUUCCAGUGUGCCCUGUUUCCACUGGCCACGUUCUCUAAGGAAGAACAAUAGCAUCUGUUUUUGUGUCCAAAUGGCUGGAGAGUGGGGCUGUGGGUCCAAUGCCCAUAUACAAAAAUGAAGUAGGAAUUGAGGAUUGCCCUAUGACGUGCUGAUGACCAAGUUACAUGGGUAAAGGUAAGCAGCAGAGUAUUGGGCAAGAGCACUGGACUGGGAGUCCAGAGAUGCUUCUUCACCCUGGGGCUUUAGGCAAGUCCCUUUCCCUCCCAGAGCCUCAGUAUCCCUUCUGUCAAAUGAUGAUGUUACCAUUUGGGAAAGGCUGUCCCCAUCCUGCCCCCUGUCCCUCUCACCCCUCACCCCUCACCCGUCAUCCCUGCGCGCCCCGUGCGCACCCAUUUCGGCUGGUGCAACGAGUCCAGAGCAUGCACGCGCUUCCGGCUGCCCCCUCCUCUCCUUGACUCAGCACUGCUGGACCCAUGUGGUCCGUUCCUCACUCUCACGGACUGGAGGCUCUGGGCAGCACAACCAGCAACUCCGGUGUGUGUUGAGGAGGGGCAGGGCACAAAACCACCAACUCGUGUGUGUGUGUGUGUGUGUGUGUGUGUGUGUGUGUCUUUCUGUCUCCCAAGGGAACAGCAGUGCUGAGUUCAGCUUGAGUAUUAACUCAUGGACUGUCAGCAAAAUAUAGUCACCAAAAGACUAUGGGCUGUUUUGUCUUUUGCAGUGACGUCAUGUUGCUCACCUUUUAUGUUUUUCAUAGUUCAUUUUAUGUUUUUCAGAGUUUCUGUUUAUUCUCAGUUAAUAUCCAGCUCAAUAGAUUGUGUAAGUAGAAUACUCCCAAACUGAAAGUCACCUACAUAAAAUAUAGUGAAAAAUAUGUCACCCUCUUAAAGUAUAGUUGAAAACAUGUACUCAUUAGUUUUGUGUAGCCAACACGGGGUACUGGGUAAGGGCACAGGAUCCCAGGGCUAGACUGCCUGGGUUCAAGUUCCGAUUUAGCCAUUUGCUGGCUUUGACAUGCUUGACAACUUUAAGCCUCAAUUUGUUAAUUUUUUUUUAAACUUAAUCCCAAAUGAGAUAGUAAAUCUCAGUUUCUUGAUCUGAAAAACAGAAAUUAUUCAAUGAGAGUCUAUGUGAAAACUUUAUAGUUUUUACAGCCACUAUCUGGCUCAGGAAAGUCCUCAGCUUUAGGGGUUAAAGUUUUAAAGGCCACUUUAAAGUUUUUAAAGCCACUGCCUGGCUCAGGAAAGCCCUCAGCUUUAGCCAUUAUUAGCACAUUAUUGUUGUGCUGGCUACACAUGCAUUAAUGAGGCAGGAAAAUGCUUAAGGAUAACAACCCAGAUUAUCUCAUCAGACCGAGACAGAUGCGUAUGCGUGCAUGCUCCUGUUUUAUAUCAGAGCCAUUUGUCUAAAAGCCUCUUGAACUCAGAGGCCCAGGCAGUAUCAACUUUGCUUUGUAGUGGAGCCAUCAGUUUUGUUAAUCAAUGAAAUUGACAUAACGCUCUUUUUUUCUUUUUUUCUUUUAAACACCAACCAUGUGCCUAGAGCUAACUGUGUCAAGAAGAGCAUGCUUCAGGUGGCUGCAGUGAGCAGUUCAACCUGUGGAGGAAUGAGAAAUGAUAGUGUUGAGACAAGAAACACAAAACCCCAGGGUAAGGUAGGAAUCACUGAAAGUCAGGCAAAGGAACUGACAUCCAGUGAUGAGUCAGGCUUUGCCAGCCUCUGGCCCUACAGAUGGCUCUUUGGAGAGGAAAAAAUUAAGUCAGACCCGAGGGCACAGAUCCUGAGGGAAUGCCGGCAGCUCUGGGCUGUCUGUGAGAGUCCAGAUUUGCUGCUUCAUCCUGGGGCUUUAGGCAAGUCCUCUUUCCUCCCAGAGCUCCAGUAUCCCUUCUAUCAAAUGAUGAUGUUCUGCCUUUCUCCUAGGAUGGCUGUGGAGAUCCAGGGAGGCAGUGGCCAUAGGGAUGCUAUGUUAACUGCAGAUGCAGCCGUAGGAGCACUUUGCUAACUGCCAACGUGAGUUCAGACUCUUCAGGCUAUUUGGCACCCAGGUCUAUGGUGAGGUGUGACAUGUGGGAUGUAAGGUUUGAUGCCUGCUCCGACUCCAGUCUUGCUAACACACGCUAAACAUUUGACAAAUCAUGACCCUGCCUUGGGGAAAAGGGCAGUCUGGGAGAGCUUCUUCAAGGCAGGCUGUCUUCAAUGCAGUCCGGGGCAUGACUGAGAUAGGCUUACGUGGUGAGGAAUUGGAGGAUAACUGAGUAAAAAGCUGCCAUGGGCGGAGGUGUUGUGUGGGUCACAUCGAGGAUAGCCCCUGGCCAAAGCAGGGAACAGAGACAGAAUGAGGAAGAGCUCUGUGGGGAAGGUGGGGUAUAGGGUGGAGAACCUUCAAAGUCUGAAGAGUGUGACUUGUUGGGGUUCAAUGCUGUAGGCAGUAGGGAGCCAUGGAAGGCUCUUAGGUGGAGAAAUGACAGCUGGACAUUGGUGAGCAAGCCCUGUCUCCAUGAGCAGCGUGGGUGGUCCUCUGAGCACACCAGGAACAAGUGUGCAGGGAGCUGGUGCAAAUGCCUCUGUGUGCGGGCGAGCAUCUGUGUUGUGACUCUGCCCACGCAUGUGCUUCAGUGUGCCGUGUGGCUGCAUGUCCCAGAUCCAUGCGGCACCUGCCAGCCGGUGAGGGUGCUGGGCGGGGAAGGCAGCGUAUGCGUGUUUUUUGUGGGCAUGUGUGUUAGUGUGUGCAUGCAGGCAGUGGGGCCUCACAGCAUGUGUGUGCACACUCCGGCGUGUGCGGGGGCCCGCCACCCUCAGGCUGCCCCACCAUGCGUGUGACCUGCCAUGUGAUUUGAUGCUGUCUUUCAGAAUCACUAUCGGUGUUACCUGAGGAGCGUCAGCCUUGAUAGGUACAUGCUUUGCUGCCUGCUGCAUGAAAGGUCUGCCUGCCCUGCUGCCCCAGCCCCACACGGGGGGCAUACCUGGGACCUCAGAGCCAGGCUCCCUGCCCCUCCCUUCUGGAGCUGCAGACUUGCUCUUUGCUCUUUCUGUCCUUGUGCU